rnacentral:rRNA from 1 species
AUACGGAGGAUCCGAGCGUUAUCCGGAUUUAUUGGGUUUAAAGGGUGCGCAGGCGGCCAUUUAAGUCAGCGGUUAAAUCGUGGGGCUCAACCCCAUUCUGCCGUUGAUACUGGGUGGCUUGAUUGCGGUCGAGGUUGGCGGAAUUCGUUGUGUAGCGGUGAAAUGCAUAGAUAUGACGAAGAACACCGAUUGCGUAGGCAGCUGACCAGACCGCAAAUGACGCUCAUGCACGAAAGUGCGGGGAUCGAACAGGAUUAGAUACCCUGGUAGUCCGCACAGUAAACGAUGAAUACUUGUUUUCGGCGAUAUAAUGUCGGAGGCAAAGCGAAAGCGAUAAGUAUUCUACCUGGGGAGUACGCCGGCAACGGUGAAACUCAAAGGAAUUGACGGGG